AGUUAAUCAUGAGAAAAAGAGCAAUGGGGUGAGAGUUCACCAUAAGAGAAAGAGCGAUGGGGUGAGAGUUCACCAAUAGAAAAAGAGCGUUGGGCUCAGAUUUUGCCAUGAGAAAAAGGGCGAUGGGCUGAGAGUUGACCAUAAGAAAAAGAGCGAUGUGGUGAGAGUUCACCAAAAGA